rnacentral:rRNA from 1 species
GCAGAGAGCCACCCUGAACAUGCCUGAUCCCAUCUGAUCUCAGAAGCUAAGCAGGGUAGGGCCUGCUUAGUACUUGGAUGGGAGACCACCUAGGAAUACCAGGUGCUGUAGGCG